UAUUGUUCAAGUAUGCAUAUAAAUAAUUAUAAUCAGUUUAAAAUUAAGUCUUCCUACAUUCCAAAACCCAGUCCCUCUCUCCAGAGCAACACUUACUAAUUCGUUUAUGCUCCUUCCAGAGAUACUAUAUGCUUGUUCAACUCUAUGUAUCUACCUAUCUACCUAUUAUUUAUCUCUGUCUGCUUUUAUUUUUAAACAAAUGAUGUUAUAAGUUUCUCUAGAAAUCACAUAUUGGUGACUAGAUUUCAUUUGUUGCCAAAGAAUGUAUGUUACAGAAACUAACAUCAUGCUAUUUGUGAUAGCCCCACAUUAUUUAAUGUUUGCAUAAUAUUUCAAUAGAAGCAUUUUCAGAAUAAUUUAUCUUGGCCCUUAUACAUGCACAUUUCGGUGGUUUCCAUAUUUUGAUCUCAUGAAUGAUGCUUCCCUUUGUAUCACAUUUUUGUCAUUAUCACCUCCCUAUUCUUACAAGGGAGUAUAAUUUCAGAGGAAUUGAAUAUCUGGUUCAAAAAAGUAUGCAUUUUAAAUUUGAAAAAAAUUAAGACCU